rnacentral:lncRNA from 1 species
GAUGCACUGAACGGUACAAUUGCCUUCGUGGUCAUAAGUAUGCUCCAGGAGCCACAUGGCCAGGCUCUGGCACCAUGGAAGAGCAUGCAAGGCACCCCUCUGCUAGAAAACAGACAUUCCAGUGUUUCUCAGAGAUUGAAUACUAGGAUAGUCAAAAGCAACUACAUAUACAAGAAAAAUUUGAAAGUCAUUGUGCAUGCCCAGGGAAAGGCACAGGCUCAGAAAAGACCUGAGAAGACCUUAAGUUUACAGUUCAGCCUAAUCUUCAGAAAAGAGGCAGCCUACAACAACUACAAACAAAUAAACAACAACAACAACAACAAAGCAAACAGCAAGCACUGAGGAAUGGGAGGAAAUCUGAUUUCCAGAGAUACAACACUAUUAGGUUCAGAAGCUCAAUUUAAAACCAAAUAUCACAAGGAGCACAAAGGAACAGAAAAGUAUGGUCCAUUCAAAGGAAAAGAAAAAAACAAUAGAUACGGUUCCUAAACAAGACCUAGUGGCAGUAUUAGCAGAUCUACCAGACAAAUACUUUAAAACAAGUGUCUUAAAGAUGUUUAAAGAAUUAAGACACACAUGGAGAAAGUCAAGAAAGAGAUAUAGGUAAAGAAAUGAAAAUAUCAAGAAAGACAUAAAUUCUAAAAAGAAACCAAAAAGAAAGUCUGGAGUUGAAAAGGAAACUAACUGUACUGGAAAAUUCACUAGAGGAAUUCAAAGGCAGAUUUGAGCAGGCAGAAAAAUUAGUAAACUUGAAGGGAGGACCACGGAAAUACCAAGUCUGAGAAAGAAAAAAGAUUGAAGAAAAGUGAACAGAGGCUAAAGGACCUGUGGAACACCAUUAAGCAGACCAACAUAGAUAUUGUGGGAGAUCCAGAAACAGCAGAGAAAAAGGAAGAAGCAGAGAAAACAUCUAAAGAAAUAAUAGAUGGAAAAUUGCCAAAUUUGAUGAAAGACAUAAGUAUAAACAUCUAAGAAGCUCAAUAAACUUCAAGUAGCAUGAAUUCAAAGAGACUCAUACCAAAAUACAUUGUAAUUAAAUUGCUGAAAGACAAAGACAAAGAGAAUUUUUAAAGAAGGAAGAGAGAAGUGAUUCAUCACAUUACAAGGGAUCCUCAAGACAAUCAGCAGAUUUCUCAUCAGAAACUUUUAGAUUCCAGAGGCAGUGGACUGAUAUAUUCAGAAUAACAAGAGAAAAAAAAAAGGUACACCAAGGUAUGGCAAAAAAUCCCUUCAAAAUUGAGGGAGAAGUUAAGACAUUUCUAGAUAAAUACAGGCUGAAGGAGUUCAUUACCACUACACCUUCUGCAAUAAAUGCCAAAGACUUUUUUUUGGCAGAAGUUGAAAAACCCAUCUUAAAUUCAUAUGGUAUCUCAAGGGAACCCAAAUCACCAAAACAAACCUGAGAAAAAAAGAAGCAUAAAGCUGGAGGACUCACACUUCCUGAUAACAAAACUUACUACAAAGCUACAGUAAUCAAAAUAAAGUUAUAUUAGCCUAAAGAUAAACAUAUGCAGCAGUGGAAUAGAAUAGAAAGUCCAGAAAUAAAUUGUUGCAUAUAUGGUCAAAUGAUUU